CUAACCCGUCUUGGAAACACGGACCAAGGAGUCUAACAUGCGCGCGAGUCGUUGGGUCGGACGCGCUCCGCGAAACCCUAAGGCAGAAUGAAAGUGAAGGCCGCCCUCGAGGGGCCGAGGGAGGACGGGGGCGCCGCCUNNNNNAGCGCGNNNNCGUGCCUCCCGCACUCCCGGGGCGUCUGAUUCCUCACUGCGAGGGAAGGCGCACCCAGAGCGCACACGUUGGGACCCGAAAGUGGUGAACUAU
rnacentral:rRNA from 1 species